AAGUCGUAACAAGGUUUCCGUAGGUGAACCUGCGGAAGGAUCAUUAACGAGUUUUGAAAGGGGUUGUCGCUGGCCUUUCACGAGGCAUGUGCACACCCUGCUCAUCCACUCUCAACCUCUGUGCACUUAUUGUAGGUCGGUGGAAGGCUCGCAAGAGCUGAAAGCCUGCUUAUGUUUUACUACAAACGCUUCAGUUAUAGAAUGUUUACUUGCGUAUAACGCAUUUAUAUACAACUUUCAGCAACGGAUCUCUUGGCUCUC
rnacentral:misc_RNA from 1 species